rnacentral:rRNA from 1 species
CACGUAGGCACCAAGCGUUGUCCGGAUUUAUUGGGCGUAAAGAGCUCGUAGGCGGUUCGGUAAGUCGGGUGUGAAAACUCUGGGCUCAACCCAGAGCCGCCACCCGAUACUGCUGUGACUUGAGUUCGGUAGGGGAGAACGGAAUUCCUGGUGUAGCGGUGAAAUGCGUAGAUAUCGGGAGGAACACCUGUGGCGAAAGCGGCGCACUGGACCACAACUGACGCUGAGGCGCGAAAGCUAGGGGAGCAAACAGG